ACUUUCUUCUUUGCAAUGAUUUUUCCAAUUUUUGUGUUGUUCUAUUUUUAAUUUGUUGUUAAUUAUAUUAUGAUGAUGAUUUAGGGUUUUGAAUUUUUGUGUUUUCUCCCUUUUCUGUUCUGCUUUUCUUUGAAUCAGAUUUUGGGUUUGUGUUCUUAUCUCUUGUUAAAUAUGUUUGGUGCACCAGCUAUGAAUCUUUGCACCACAAAGCAAACCCAACACAACAAAACAAAACCCUUUUCUUUAAUCUUCUAAAAAUUGAAUCUUUUCAUCUACCCAAUUCUUAAACCGUUUUUUUUGUUCUGGGUUUUUGUUAAAUUCUAAAAAGAUCUGAUUUUUAUUCUUGAUUUGUUUGAAACGUGUUGUUUCACUAUUUGGGUCUGAUUGAAAUUGUUGUUUGGUUUUGAUAAUGAGGAAACGCGAGAGGGAAAAUCAUUGUGGUGUUUGUGGGCACUAUCACAAACACAAGAAGGUGACCUGUUUCAAUUUUUUCACGACUAUUGAGUAGAUCUUCUUUUUCAGAUGCUUAGAGCUUGCUUUUACUGGAAGAGUUAGUCAAUUCUUUUGAUGGUGAAGGAUUUCUGGCCAUCAUAGAUGCAUCAAAACAAUGGUUCAAUGAGUCUCAAGUAAUAAAAGUGGAAUGCAAUGCAAGCUGGUGGAGGACUUAAAGAAAAAAAGAUUGAAAAACCCUCAGAUAUUUGAGGGUCUACCAACGUUCUUUCCCAAAGUGCCCCAGAGUCUUCACACAAAUUUCUGGAUGCCUUAACUAGGAUUGUCAAGCUUAUCUUAUCCUUCCUCGUCAUGUUUAUUCCCUCCUUCCUUCGCGUGAAACGUAUGCUGUAUUAAUAUUGCCAUGAUAAGAGAAGAUACUCUUUUUGCCUUGUCCUCUCUUUCAGAACAACUGCUUGAGACACAUGAGUCAGGGUUUCGGACAAGUAACUUGAAGAACAUGAUUGAACAGAUUGUUGCCGAGGACUUUCUAAUAGAUUCUCUUGAAUACCCCUUUCUAUAUACUCGUAUCUUUACUUCAGUUGCCAAAUUCUCCUCUGUGAUAAGCAAUGAAGUACUAGAGCACUCUCUUGAUGCUGCACUGAAGGCAAUUACAAUGAAUGUGUAAGCAAACACCUGUAAAAGUCUAGAAAUUCAUGAAGGAGCAUAAGAAUCAUAAGGUUCGUAGUGAGGGAAUUUUGUGGAUGGUUUCUGCUGUUGUGGAUUUUGGUGUAUCACAUUUAAAGCUUAAGGAUUGUAUUGAUUUUGUUAAAGAAAUUGGUCUGCAGUCAAGUGCAGCUGCUACUAGAAAUGCAUCAAUUAAACUCUUGGGUGUUCUGCAUAAAUUUGUUGUUCCAGGUGACUUUGUGUUGACUUUCAAAUUUCUAUCUCUCACUAUUUCUUUAGAUCUAAAAGGGUUUCUUCGCUAGUAGACAUAAAAGGGUUUCUUACUGAUGUUAAGCCUGCACUGCUGAGUGCUC